rnacentral:rRNA from 1 species
GAUGAACGCUGGCGGCGUGCCUAAUACAUGCAAGUCGAACGAACGGACGCGACUCUUGCUUCUCUGAUGUUAGCGGCGCACGUGUGAGUAACGCGUGGAUCACCUCCCUAUCUUACUGGGAUCACUUCGGGAAACCGGCGCUAAUACCGUAUAAUAUUUUGCACCGCAUGGGUCAAAAGUGAAAUACGGUCUUGCUGUCACUUCUCGCUGCAUCCGGGCUGCAUUAGCUAGUUGGUAAGGUAACAGCUUACCAAGGCAACGAUGCAUAGCCGAACUGAGAGGGGGAUAGCCCACACUGGAACUGAGACACCGUCCUGAGGCCUAAGGGAGGGAGCAGUAGGGAACCGGACGCAAUAGGCGAAAGUAUGACGGAGCAACGGCGAGUGAGUGAUGAAGGUCCUCGGAGCGUAAAACUCUGUUAUUAGGGAAGAACAUAUGUGUAAGGAAAUGUGCAGAGCGUGACGGUACUUAAUCAGAAAGCCACGGCUAACUACGUG